CGCCCGCCGCCACCUGCCCCGGCCGCCCCGCUCCAGGGUCGCCCCUCCAGCCGCACUACUCGGAAACUUGGUAACCCCGUCCUCGAGGCAUCUCACACCAGCCUCGGCUGAGAGAGUGAGUUAACAGGCCUAGAGGAGCCACCGAAGUGCCCAAGUCUGUGUCAGCUGUUACAAGUAAGGGCAGAAGAGGACAACUUCACCCGUGCGAGCAAGUAAUAAAGGACGUUCAGAUAUAUAUAUCCCGAUUUAGUCCGUUUUCAUUUAAUCAAACCCCAGAGCAAUGGAUAUUUUAUGAGAAAUGUUUCCUGAUGUGCAGAACGAGAUAGUAACGUAGACCAACGAGUGAAACUCUGAGUCGUGCAUGUCCAUCUGUGGGCUGUGCAUGUGGUGCAAGGGCAUGUGCAGGGAUGGUGCGGAGAUGUGUAGACAUGGAGAAUGCAAGAAGUUGCACCAAAUUCAUUAUGGCUGUUGACUAUGUAGAAGGAAGGAGGGAAAUUGAGAAGAGUAAAAUGAGGACUUCAACUUUACCUCCAAUGUACAAUACAGUGAUUCAACAAUUCUAUGCGUUACUCACCCUAAAACAGAGAGCCCCAGUAAUUCCAAGAUCUAAGAGCUGGGAUUCAAACUUUGAUAGAUCUGACUCCAAAGCUUGAAAACACAGACCUCAAGAAUCAUGAUUACAAUGUACUUAUAAAUAAGGAAACUGAAAUCAAAUGACUCCCUUAUGCUUUGUCUGAGAAGGGUGGGGGGAUUGGGCUUUGUGCAGUGAGGAAGAGGGGAACUCAAAGAUGUGUCUCCAGCACCAGCCAGAGCCAAGAGAGCCUGCAGAUCCACUCCCCGCCAGUCCCCUGCAGUUGUGAGGUCUGGAUGUUUUAGGGGUUCUCACUGAGGCCCCCGAGGAAUAUGCCUUAAGACUAUCUACCUUGCCCUCACCCUCUCCCCAAGAUUCCAAUGCAAGAAACCUGAUUAUGGCUCAGCUUCUUUAUGCCUUAGUGCCUAGAAAGCAGGCUCUAGUCUUAAAAGCCCUAGAAAACUAGAA